UACGGAGGAUGCGAGCGUUAUCCGGAUUUAUUGGGUUUAAAGGGUGCGUAGGCGGCUUUUUAAGUCAGCGGUGAAAUUUUGCAGCUUAACUGUAACAGUGGCCGUUGAUACUGGGGAGCUAGGAUUUGGUUGCUGUGGGUGGAAUGUGUGGUGUAGCGGUGAAAUGCUUAGAUAUCACGAGGAACUCCGAUUGCGCAGGCAGCUUACUAAACUACUACUGACGCUCAGGCACGAAGGCGUGGGGAUCAAACAGGAUUAGAUACCCCGGUAGU
rnacentral:rRNA from 1 species